UAUGCAAGUUUGAUACAUUAAGAUCUCAGCCGUUCACCUUUGCAUCUACUUGGCGCUUCACCGGUAUCAGAGCCAAACAUGACUGGCACAGUUUUUUAAGUGUAGUCGCGACACAUCGGAUAACAUCCCAUCUUUUAAGCUUCAGAAAAGGAAAAGGAGAGAGUUUCCUCCUUUCUCCACCGAAGCACUGUUCGAGGGUUUCAUCAGCUCUCCCAUUUGUGCAUCUGUUCAAGAAGAAGAACCAUUUGUGCAUCUGUUCGAGGGUUUCUUCACCGAGUUUGUUAGAAAACUCAACUGCGUCAGGCGAUUCCUUCAAAAGGCUGUUCGAAAUCGAUUUCAGAACAGAACCCAGUUCAACUUCAGUUCCAACAUUGCUCCAACAACUCCGAGCGAACAGAAGCCAGUUCGAGGGAUUUCCUAAUCCAGUUUAUCCUCCCAUCUCCAGUCCAGGCGUAGGCUUCUAACGACGGCGGCUUCACUCCUACAACAUCUCUAGGCAACUAUGGAUCCCCUGUUAAGCUGAGUUUGAAGUUUCUUCUCUGGCCGGUUUGAAUGUUAUAAGCAUACAGCUUGACCUCUUCAUCGAUUGGGGUUGCUGGUUUGAGAGUUACACAUCAAAAUUUGUUUUUCCUGGACCGAGUGAACCCUAAAUAAAUUUAGGGCUUUUGACACCUUUACAAAAUAGGAUUAACCACAUAAGGCCGAUUCGAUCAGAAAACCGAACCCAAGCAUCUCAAAUCAGGCUCCAAAGCACUUAGAAGUAUCAUUGCCGAAUGCGCAAAUUGCUGCUGAAUCAAAAGAAGCAGUGGGAGCAUCGGAAAUUCAGAACUUGUUGAUAACGCUGAUAGGCCAAGCCGAAUAACACCAGUGACCGGGAGUUCAUCAGCAGAUUUAUUAUCUGAACAUCAGUCUCGUAAAUAAAGCUAAGUGCUCUAUUCAUUAUUUAUUUCACUUAGCAAUAUUCUUGAUAUUCAAGAACUCAGUAAAACUGAGAAACUGAAUGGCACAAAUUAGGUUCUCUAGAAACGUAGGAUUAGAAGGAUACUUGACGAACUAAAUGUUGAUUAUGUUUUAGAUAAAUCUAUUCCUGCUAAACUUGCCGAUGAUGAUUCCUUGACUAUAAUUCAUGAAUAUUAAAAAUGGAAAAUUGAUAAUAGGAAGGCAAGAAAUUGUUUGUUAAUUUUUAUGGAGCCCGACAUAAAGGUUGUGUUUGAAGAAUACAAUAAUGCUAAAGAUAUGUUUAAAGCCAUUAAAGAAACAUAUGGACAAAUAACUGAAACCUAUGUUCAAUUGUUAAUUGAAAAAUAUUAUGGCUGUGAAAUGAGAGAAGAGGAUUAUGUAGUAGAUCAUGCUAGUAAAAUGAAUGUGAUUGCCAAAGAAUUGGCAACCACUGGGAACCCUAUUCAUGAGAAAAUUCAGGUAUCCACCAUUCUUAAUAGCCUCCCAUCUUCUUGGAAUUUUGUAGUAACAAUUUUAAACCUAUCUGGAAGAGAAAUUAACAUAAAAAACUUACCUACCUUGUUAGGAUGAGAGGCUAAGAGGAAGAGGAAGAAAUCCCAACCUUCAUCCUUAAUGGUUACUCCCAAACCAACUAAAACUUCCCAAAUGGCUGAAAAGUCUAAGGGCAAGUUUUUCAAAAAAUAAUAAUGGGAAGAAAUUUAAAUUCUCAAAAGGAUUCAAGAAGAGUAAGAGUAAGCAUUGCUUUAAUUGUGGAAAACAAGGCUAUACAAAAUAUAAUUGCCUUGAAUGCAAGAAGAAUAAUUCAAAUAAUGAAAAAAGAAAAACUAAAGAGAAAGACGUAAUCUGUGUAGUAUCUGAAUCCUAUUUUACGGAUUCUGAUUUUUCUGAUUGGUGCAUAGAUUCUGGCUCCUCUAAGCAUAUUUGCCAAACUAAAGAGAUGUUCUUGGAACUGAAGGAAAUGAAGAUAGGAGAACACAAUUUUUAUGGGAAACAACACCUACACUAAUGUACUUGGAACCGGAAAAGUGAAGAUCCCCAUAAAUCUGAACACAAAUUCAAUCCUUAAUGAUGUAUUGUAUGCACAUAAUUUUAGGAGAAAUUUAUUGUUUGUACCUUUGUUAGAUGAGAAGGGUUUUGAUAUACGUUUCAGGGGAGGAAAAGUGACCAUAGGAAAGCAUGGUAGAGUUUUAAUGUUUGGGAAUAAGUCUGUACCUCUUUCUAGUUAUGAUUGUACUUAUCAUGUGAAUGAAAGUGCGUACAUAUGGCACGUGAGAUUUUGUCACAAAUAAAGAUAAAAUGAUGAAAAUGAGCACCAAUGGCUUAAUUCCCAAAAUAGAAAUGAAUUUCAAUUAUUGUGAACCAUGCCUUGGUGGAAAAAUGACUAGGCUCCCUUUUAAGAAAGGAAAGAAAUCAGAUGAAUUAUUGACUAUAAUACACUCUGAUGUUUGUGGCCCUUCGAACGUAAAAACACAUAGGGGUAUGGAAUAUUUUGUAACUUUUAUAGAUGAUUUCUCUAGAUUUGGUUUUGUAUAUAUGAUUAAAAGAAAAAUCAGAAGUGUUAGAGAAAUUUAAAGAAUAUAAAACACUUGUAGAAAACCAAUUGGGUAAAAAAAUAAAAACUCUUAGGAGUAAUAGAGGCGUAGAAUAUAUCUCUAACCUAUUUAGUGACUUUUGUACACAAAAUGGAAUCAUACACCAAUUAACCAUGUCCAUGCCACAAUAGAAUGGAGUGGCUGAACGGAGAAAUAGGAUUUUGUUGGAUAUGGUAAGAUCAAUGUUAUCUCACUUAAAUCUAGGAGCACACUUUUAGGGAAAAGCUUUAGGUACUGUUGUAUAUAUUCUAAAUAAGGUUCCAACUAAAGUUAAUAGCUUAACAUCCCAUGAAAUGUGGACUUGUAGAAAACUAGACCUGACUGACAUAAAAAUUUGGGGGGCUAGUGCUUAUGUAAGAGUGCCAAAUCAGUAAAGAAGAAAGAUAACAAAGAGUCUAAGGUGUACCUUUAUAGGGUAUAGUGAUAAUAGCAAAAGGUAUAGAUUUGUUAAUCAUAAAUCUGAUGGAACAGUUGAAUUAAUAGAAAGCAGGGAUGCUGUUUUUCUAGAAGAUCAAAUUGAGGAUAAUAAACAAGUUUCACUUAAUAAUGACACCUUAGGUAGAAUUCAAAGAGAAAGAUUCAUUUCAUCAAGAUUAAAAGAUUAUUAUACUUACUUGAAUGAAGAGUCUCUUGAUGAUCCAAUUGACUUUGAAGAUGCUAUGGAUGCACUUGAUAAAGAAAAGUGGUGUGAAGCCAUAGAAGAAGAGUUAGAUUCAAUAAAUAAAAAUCAGGUUUGGGAAUUAGUUGAUUUACCCAAGAAUAGGAAACCUAUAAACUCAAUACUGAUGGAUCUAUAGAAAAAUAUAAGGCAAGAUUAGUAGUAAAAAGGUACACCCAAGUAGAAGAGAUUGAUUAUGAUGAGACUUACUCUCCAGUUGUCAAGUUUACCUCUAUUAGAAUCCUAAUGCCUUUAGUUGUCUUUUUGGACUUAGAGUUGUGCCAAUUAGAUAUUAAAACUACUUUCCUCAAUGGAAAGCUGAAUGAAGAAAUUUACAUGACUCAACCCAAAGGUUAUGUAUUAGAGGGACAAGAAAAUAAAGUGUAUAAAUUAAAGAAAUCAUUGUAUGGUUUAAAAUAGUUCUCUAGGAUGUGGUACUAUACCUUCCAUGAAGCAAUCUCUAAACUUGGAUUUAUACCUAAUCCGUUUGAUCAUUGUGUUUACUCUUUGAAUAGUGUGAGCAAUUUUAUUGUUCUUUCAUUAUAUGUAGAUGAUAUUCUUAUUACUGGAAAUGAUGUGUUUAUGAUUAAUGAAAUUAAAGAUUGGUUAAAAACCAAUUUUGAAAUGAAAGACAUGGGUGAUGUAAGUUAUGUACUUGGAAUUAAAAUAGAAAGAGAUAGGAACACUAGAAUCUUAACUCUUUCACAAGAGCAUUAUUUGGAGAAAAUUCUAAGGAAAUUUAAUAUGAAAUAUUGUAAUGGAGUUGAAAUUCCAAUUUGUAAAUGAACCAAAUUAAGUAGGGAUAUGACUCCCACUAAUGAUGAAGAGAUAGAGAAAAUGAAGCAUAGACCCUAUGCUCUAGCUAUUGGUAGCUUAAUGUAUGCCAUGCUUUGCACAAGACUAGAUAUCUCAAAGCAUAGACCAUAUGCUUUGCACAAGACUAGUUAACAAAAUACUUCAAAUUAACCUAUCAUGCAAAUGAUUUAGAGUUACGGGGUUAUUGUGGUGCAGAUUUUGCAGGUGAUUCGGAUGAUAGAAAAUCCACAACCGGGUACUUAUUCCUCUUAGGAGGAGGUGCUGUCUCAUGGACAAGCAAGAAACAAAGUUGUGUAGCUAAAUUCACCAUGGAAGCUGAGUUUAUCUCUUGUAGCUCCGCGGCAUCUGAAACAAUUUGGAUUAGGAGAUUCUUAGAAGAACUCUGAAUUCCUGAUGUGCCAAUAGGAGUUGUGAAGAUCUUUAAUGACAACCAAGCUACUAUUAAGACAAUUAAAAAUGGUGAUAUCGGCCCUAAAGGAAAACACAUAGAUCUCCAUUACUGGUAUCUAUAUGAUAUCUACCAACGGAAUGAGAUCCUGGUAGAAUAUGUACCUACAAAAGAUAUGAUUGUCGACCCUGACUAAACCCAUUGCAAUUACAAAUUAUGUAAGGCACGUUAAAGCAAUGUGAUUGAUUGGCACUUAUUCAUCUCGA